ACGUAGGCAGCAAGCGUUGUUCGGAGUUACUGGGCGUAAAGAGUGCGUAGGCGGUUUCGCAAGUUUGGUGUGAAAUCUCCCGGCUUAACUGGGAGGGUGCGCCGAAAACUGCGGGGCUGGAGUGUGGGAGAGGUAGGCGGAAUUCCUGGUGUAGCGGUGAAAUGCGUAGAUAUCAGGAGGAACACCGGUGGUGUAGACGGCUUACUGGACCAUGACUGACGCUGAGGCACGAAAGCGUGGGGAGCAAACAGGA
rnacentral:rRNA from 1 species